rnacentral:tRNA from 1 species
AUUUAAAUAGUUUAAUGAAAACGUUGAUUUGUGAUGUCAAAAUUAUAAGAGAUUAUUUUAAAUA